AGCGAACGCUGGCGGCAGGCCUAACACAUGCAAGUCGAACGGAUCCUUCGGGAUUAGUGGCGGACGGGUGAGUAACACGUGGGAACGUGCCUUUUGGUUCGGAACAACUCAGGGAAACUUGAGCUAAUACCGAAUGUGCCCUUCGGGGAAAGAUUUAUCGCCAUUAGAGCGGCCCGCGUCUGAUUAGCUAGUUGGUGAGGUAAAGGCUCACCAAGGCUACGAUCAGUAGCUGGUCUGAGAGGAUGAUCAGCCACAGUUGGGACUGAGACACGGCCCAAACUCCGUACGGGAGGCAGCAGGUGGGGAAUCUUGCGCAAUGGGCGAAAGCCUGACGCAGCCAUGCCGCGUGAAUGAUGAAGGUCUUAGGAUUGUAAAAUUCUUUCGACCGGGGACGAUAAUGACGGUA
rnacentral:rRNA from 1 species